GGAGAUUACAUUUGGUAUCGGAGCGGUCUCGGGUCCGACUCUGUUGGUUGGCUAAGGGAAUCACACCACAUGUUGAUUGACAUCUGGCUGGUUCAGUUUGCUCCCGCUGGGCUCGACCCGAGGGGUAGGGUGUCAAGAGAGCGGGGCUCUUGGGAGAGUUGCGGCUCUCAGCUUUCGUUCACGAGGGCGUGAACUUGCAGGGAAGCGUGGUG
rnacentral:lncRNA from 1 species